rnacentral:rRNA from 1 species
UUGACCUCAAAUCAGGUGGGACUACCCGCUGAACUUAAGCAUAUCAAUAAGCGGAGGAAAAGAAACUAACAAGGAUUCCCUUAGUAACUGCGAGUGAAGUGGGAAGAGCUCAAAUUUGAAAUCUGGCAGUCUCUGGCUGUCCGAGUUGUAAUCUAGAGAAGUGUUGCCCGCGCUGGACCGUGUACAAGUCUCCUGGGAUGGAGCGUCAUAGAGGGUGAGAAUCCCGUCUCUGACAUGGACUACCAGGGCUUUUGUGGUGCGCUCUCAAAGAGUCGAGUUGUUUGGGAAUGCAGCUCAAAAUGGGUGGUAAAUUCCAUCUAAAGCUAAAUAUUGGCGAGAGACCGAUAGUGAACAAGUACCGUGAGGGAAAGAUGAAAAGAACUUUGGAAAGAGAGUUAAACAGUACGUGAAAUUGCUGAAAGGGAAACGCUUGAAGUCAGUCGCGUUGGCCAGGGAUCAGCCUUGCUUCUUAGUGUGGUGUACUUCCUGGUUGACGGGUCAGCAUCG